UACGAAGGGGGCUAGCGUUGCUCGGAAUCACUGGGCGUAAAGCGCACGUAGGCGGCUUUUUAAGUCAGGGGUGAAAUCCUGGAGCUCAACUCCAGAACUGCCUUUGAUACUGAGGAGCUCGAGUCCGGGAGAGGUGAGUGGAACUGCGAGUGUAGAGGUGAAAUUCGUAGAUAUUCGCAAGGACACCAGUGGCGAAGGCGGCUCACUGGCCCGGUACUGACGCUGAGGUGCGAAAGCGUGGGGAGCAAACAGG
rnacentral:rRNA from 1 species